GAUGAACGCUGGCGGCGUGCCUAAUACAUGCAAGUCGAGCGAACGGACGAGAAGCUUGCUUCUCUGAUGUUAGCGGCGGACGGGUGAGUAACACGUGGAUAACCUACCUAUAAGACUGGGAUAACUUCGGGAAACCGGAGCUAAUACCGGAUAAUAUUUUGAACCGCAUGGUUCAAAAGUGAAAGACGGUCUUGCUGUCACUUAUAGAUGGAUCCGCGCUGCAUUAGCUAGUUGGUAAGGUAACGGCUUACCAAGGCAACGAUGCAUAGCCGACCUGAGAGGGUGAUCGGCCACACUGGAACUGAGACACGGUCCAGACGCCUACGGGAGGCAGCAGUAGGGAAUCUUCCGCAAUGGGCGAAAGCCUGACGGAGCAACGCCGCGUGAGUGAUGAAGGUCUUCGGAUCGUAAAACUCUGUUAUUAGGGAAGAACAUAUGUGUAAGUAACUGUGCACAUCUUGACGGUACCUAACCAGAAAGCCACGGCUAACUACGUG
rnacentral:rRNA from 1 species